GGGCCCGCACAAGCGGUGGAGCAUGUGGUUUAAUUCGAUGCAACGCGAAAAACCUUACCAACCCUUGACAUCUAGUGAAAUUUCUAGAGAUAGAUUUGUGCCUUCGGGAACACUAUGACAGGUGUUGCAUGGCUGUCGUCAGCUCGUGUCGUGAGAUGUAUGGUUAAGUCCAGUAACGAGCGCAACCCCCUAUUCUUAUUUGCCAGCACUUCGGGUGGGAACUAUAAGGAGACCGCCGUGUAUAACACGGAGGAAGGCGGGGACGACGUCAAGUCAUCAUGGCCCUUACGGGUUGGGCUACACACCGUGCUACAAUGGGAGAUACAGAUGGUUGCGAAAGCGCGAGCUGGAGCUAAUCCCAAAAAGUCUUCCUCAGUCCGGAUUGGAGUCUGCAACUCGACUCCAUGAAGCAGGAAUCGCUAGUAAUCG
rnacentral:rRNA from 1 species